UACGUAGGGUGCAAGCGUUGUCCGGAAUUAUUGGGCGUAAAGAGCUCGUAGGCGGUCUGUCGCGUCUGCUGUGAAAACUCAGGGCUUAACCCUGAGCUUGCAGUGGGUACGGGCAGACUAGAGUGCGGUAGGGGGAGACUGGAAUUCCUGGUGUAGCGGUGAAAUGCGCAGAUAUCAGGAGGAACACCGGUGGCGAAGGCGGGUCUCUGGGCCGUAACUGACGCUGGAGGAGCGAAAGCAUGGGGAGCGAACAGG
rnacentral:rRNA from 1 species